UACCGGAAAAAUCGGCGAGUGGUGUCGU
rnacentral:sRNA from 1 species